GAUGAACGCUGGCGGCGUGCCUAAUACAUGCAAGUCGAGCGAACAGACGAGGCGCUUGCUCCUCUGACGUUAGCGGCGGACGGGUGAGUAACACGUGUAUAACCUACCUAUAAGACUGGGAUAACUUCGGGAAACCGGAGCUAAUACCGGAUAAUAUAUUGAACCGCAUGGUUCAAUAGUGAAAGACGGUUUUGCUGUCACUUAUCGAUGGUUCCGCGCCGCAUUAGCUAGUUGGUAAGGUAACGGCUUACCAAGGCAACGAUGCGUAGCCGACCUGAGAGGGUGAUAGGCCACACUGGAACGGAGACACGGUCCAGACUCCUACGGGAGGCAGCAGUAGGGAAUCUUCCGCAAUGGGCGAAAGCCUGACGGAGCAACGCCGCGUGAGUGAUGAAGGUCUUCGGAUCGUAAAACUCGGUUAUGAGGGAAGAACAAAUGUGUAAGUAAAUAUGCACGUAUUGACGGUACCUAAUCAGAAAGCAACGGCUAACUACGUG
rnacentral:rRNA from 1 species